GUGGGGAAUCUUCCGCAAUGGACGAAAGUCUGACGGAGCGACGCCGCGUGAGUGAAGAAGGCCUUCGGGUCGUAAAGCUCUGUCAUCAGGGACGAACGGCCGGUGGAGUGGAAAGCCACCGGAUUGACGGUACCUGAGAAGGAAGCCACGGCUAACUACGUGCCAGCAGCCGCGGUAAUACGUAGGUGGCAAGCGUUGUCCGGAAUUAUUGGGCGUAAAGCGCGCGCAGGCGGGAUCUUACGUCCAUUUUGAAAGUUCGGAGCUCAACUCCGUGAUGGGAUGGAAACUGGGAUUCUUGAGUACCGGAGAGGAAAGCGGAAUUCCCCGUGUAGCGGUGAAAUGCGUAGAUAUUAGGAAGAACACCAGUGGCGAAGGCGACUUUCUGGACGAAAACUGACGCUGAGGCGCGAAAGCCAGGGGAGCGAACGGGAUUAGAAACCCGGGUAGUCC
rnacentral:rRNA from 1 species